CCUGGAGUCUCUGGCGGCUUCUACCGCAGCCAACAAGUCUGAGAUUUCAUUAGAAGCUGGUCUCUUUGGAGGCUAAUUCGCAGUCUGCGGGGGGCCACUUGUCCGGUAGCCGGGAAUCAAGUGUCUAGGAUGCUACCUACUUAACACGACUUCCACUCCCUUGACCUUUAAAGCUGAUCUUCUUAAAGACAGUACACUGUUUCUUGGAUAAUUAUUACCUGUUCAGCUACAUGAUUACCCUGCUUGGCUCAUUGUUCUGGAUCGAAGACUUUCUCCUAAGAAGAAUAGGAACAGAGCAGUUGGACAUGGCCAGAGGUUCCUGUGACAUUCCUUCAGUUUUCAGUGUGAACUGCAGAGAAAAGACAGCAAUUUUGAUUUGUCUUGCAGAAUAGCCAGUGCCCCAGACCUGAAAUCACUACUACUUGGAGUACUACAGGUAGCUUUGAAAAUUUUAAAUAAUGUUCCAUGGAUACAUAGUUUCAGUUAUCCAAGAUGAGAAAGCUCUGGAGAUUGUUUGCACAACAAAAGGAGUAUACUUAGCACUACUGAACGUACAUUUGAAAAUGGUUAAGAAGGUAAGUUUUAGGUUAUGUUUUUUUCACCACAAUUUUAAAAAUUAAGAAAUAUUUUUUUUUCAAGCUAAAAUAACCAUCUCUGUGUUGUGGGAUGAACUUAGCUGUUAUGUUUUCUGCAACUCAGGUUGGGGGAAAGGGCACAUUCUGUGGGCUGUGGUGUUUGCACUGAUGAGUACAUGGUGGACCCUAAAGUUAUGACUGGCCUGACAUACGAACAACUUGGGUUAAUUACGUUAAGGGAAGAUUCAUCUGCCUCUUGUUAUAAAUCUCAGCUGUAUUGACUUACAACCAAACUUGAGUU
rnacentral:lncRNA from 1 species